rnacentral:rRNA from 1 species
CCUACGGGCGACAGCAGUGAGGAAUAUUGGUCAAUGGGCGCGAGCCUGAACCAGCCAAGUCGCGUGAGGGAGGACGGCCCUACGGUUUGUAAACCUCUUUUGCCGGGGAGCAACGGGCGUCACGUGUGGCGCCACUCAGAGUACCCGUAGAAAAAGCAUCGGCAAAAUCCGGGCCAGCGGCCGCGGUAAUACGGAGGAUGCGAGCGUUACCCGGAUUUAUUGGGUUAAAGGGGUGGGUAGGCGGAUCGUUAAGUCAGGGGUAAAAUUGAGGGGCUCAACCCCUUCCCGCCAUUGAAACUGGCGCUCUUGAGUGGAAGAGAAGUAUGCGGAAUGCGUGGUGUAGCGGUGAAAUGCAGAGAUAUCACGCAGAACACCGAUUGCGAAGGCAGCAUGCCGGCUUCCGACUGACGCUGAAGCACGAAAGCGUGGGGAUCGAACAGGAUUAGAUACCCCAGUAGUC